UCGGACCAGCUCAAGGUUGACUCAGCUUUGCAAUCUUCUAAGCUUUCCUUGAACUUUCUCGGGAUCAGUGAUUGUUGCCUGGAUUUGGGAAAUAAAAUUGCGCAAAUUCUGCUUGGCCUCUGAAAAGAAAGAAUAAAGUGACAUGAGAAUGUCCAAGAAAUGCUGCCAUACUAUACGAUAGCAAGUCUACGAAUUCGCUGGCUGGGGAAUUCUGGGAGUUGAAGUCCGGACAUCUUCAAGUUGCCAAGGUUGAGAAACACUGAUCGAGAUUUCUCAUUUCCCCCCAGUGAGCAAUCCAUUUUACAGAUUGAAUUAUAAGAGAUGUUUCUAGGAAAAAAGUAAUUGUUGGAGGGUAUAUUUUUAUUGAGAACACAGCCAGAAACUGAAAGGUGAAACUGCCUUCAUUCUGCAGUAAUCUUGAUGAAAACUGUUCCUAUCAUUUAAUACGUAUUGAUUUUUUAAAAAGGAGCUGACAAGAAUGCACAUGCAUCUAUUGCUGCUUGUCUGACUUUCUCAUAUUGAAUUGUCUCUAACUGUGUAUGCAGUGUCAACCAAUGUCUUUCCUGCUGUUUUUUUUUUAAUUUCUGAAUAAUAACUUCAAAAUGUCAGAGAACCCCACAACAGCAGUAUCAGUUGUCACAGAGAUGAACGAAGAUUAUAGCCAGGACACGAACAAAAUGCUCUACAAAUUAGUGACUAACACUUCCAAGAUGAUGAAAUACAUGAAGCGUGUCACCAAUCAGCACAAAAAAGAAAUUAAGUACCGUAAAUUACACAAAAAGAGAAAAAAUGACGACUAUGAUGAAGAUGAACAUUUUUUUCCAGUUUGUUUGCACAACCAUAGCUCCAGUGCAGACACCAUAUAAUGUAUACACCCCCCCAAAAAAAUCUUCCUUCCUAUAUUCAGUUCUUACUGAA